GUGUAAUACCCCAAAAUUUACCCUUCAUUUUUCCUGGAAGCAUACGCUUUACACCUCAUGCAUGCAUUCAUUUUUAGGUCAUUUAACAUUAGAUACAUUGCAAUUCAUCAUGUCAAUCAGAAUUAGAUCCAAGAAACUUUAUUUAAAAAAAAAAAACGAAUAUAAAUAAAUAAUAAUAAUAAUAAUAAUAAAUAAAUAAUAAAUAAAUAAAUACAAGAAAAAAUCUCAGACUUGGACCUCUC
rnacentral:lncRNA from 1 species